rnacentral:misc_RNA from 1 species
AAAAAAAAAAAGUGAAGUAGAGGAAUUUGCCUUAAAUAAUGUAAUCAUUUUCUAAGAAAUAGAAAUUUACCCAACUCGAAGUGCUGUGGUAUAGGAGGAAGGUUUAAGCCUCAUGAAAGGAAAUAAUGAUGUACACAUAACCAACCAUUUUCUGUCUCCAAGCAGGGGGAUCAUUUUUGGAAUAGUUUGACUUGAAUUUGUCAACCUCUUUUUGUUUAGG